UAUAUAAUACUGUACGCUUUCUUCAAUGUGUUCUGGAUUUGAGGACUGUGAAAAGACCCCUGGUGGCAUGUCUGGUAAAAGGUAAGUGUGUGUUCAUCACCAAAACAACAAAAUGUCAAUCAGAAGGUUGUAGUUCAUCACCAGAACAACAAAAUGGCGACCAGAAGGUUGUAGUUCAUCACCAGAACAACAAAAUGUCGAUCAGAAGGUUGUAGUUCAUCACCAGAACAACAAAAUGUCGAUCAGAAGGUUGUAGUUCAUCACCAGAACAACAAAAUGUUGACAAGAAGGUUGUAGUUCAUCAACAGAACAACAAAAUGGCAAUCAGAAGGUUGUAGUUCAUCACCAGAACAAUAAAAUGGCGAUAAGAAGGUUGUAGUUCAUCACGAGAACAACAAAAUGGCGAUAAGAAGGUUGUAGUUCAUCACCAGAACAACAAAAUGGCAACCAGAAGGUUGUAGUUCAUCACCAGAACAACAAAAUGGCAAUCAGAAGGUUGUAGUUCAUCACCAAAACAACAAAAUGGCGUUAAGAAGGUUGUAGUUCAUCACCAGAACAACAAAAUGGCAAUCAGAAGGUUGUAGUUCAUCACCAGAAAAAAUAAAAUGGCGAUAAGAAGGUUGUAGUUCAUCACCAGAAAAAAUAAAAUGGCGAUAAGAGGGUUGUAGUUCAUCACCAGAACAAUAAAAUGUCGAUAAGAAGGUUGUAGUUCAUCACCAGAA